GGACGGCAAAGAUUUUCAUGUUCUGCUGUCCAGAAUCGGACCAUACAAGCUGUUUUAUUGGGACAUCUGUAGGACAACUCCGGGUCAGGAACUUGAGAGUGAGGUAAGCUUCAGUAUUUUAUUCUCCUUUAGUUAACUCAUAUAACAAAGAAAUCUCCAAAUGCUAGUACACCAUAAGUUAACUGACUUCAUUUUCAAAUGGAUUUGCUUUCCCCAGGUGAUCAAUGCCACCCUGUUCAGAAUGGUCCAGAAGCACAAUUGCCAAGGGGGGAAAAAGGCACUUUGCAUUGAUACAUAUGCCAUGACCCAAAUUUGGAACAGGAAGACUUCAAUUCUAAGGAAGUGUGAUCCUUCAUUGUAUGGAGUCAUUCUGGGGGUAGUGAAUGAGCCAAAUCAUUGGAUACUCACAGUAAGUUAAACAUUAUCUUACGCUAUGUAUUCAUAUUUAAAUUUCCAAGGCACAUCCAUGAUUUUAUUAGGAUAUGUGAAUGUGACACAUGCACAAUGUGCUUAUCUACAUUUCUCUAGGUCCCCUCAGAACAGAGGAGCCUUGUGCUGGAUCCACUCGGCAACGAUGCCUCCAAGAUCACAAGAUGUCUGGAGACCACAAGAGCAUUCAUGAGAGCGAGGGGCUGUACGGUGUCCAGGUGGAAAGCCAACACUGUGCCACAUAGCCUGCAGCAGGAUUCCACUUCAUGUGGAAUAUUUGCCAUCAAAGUAAGUUUUUGAAUUGCAUAUUUCUUUACGGAAACAUGAAGCAGAUUUUGAAAAGUAUGCUGAGAAAGUCCUGGCAGAGGAGUCUCCUACUUUCCCAAACUCUGAAGGGGCAGUGGUUAAUUACAGGAGGGAAAUUGCUGUAGCACUUCUCAAUGAGACUGAUGAUCUCAGUGAGCUGUGCCACCACUGUGGAGAGGGAGAAGAAGCGCGAGGGGGGUCUCAAGACAGACCUGAUGCCACUGACUGGAUCCAGUGUGACACCUGUGGAAGGUGGUACCACGAGGGUUGUGUUGGGAGACCUGACAGAGAUCCUAUGUACAGCUGUCCUGCAUGCCACCAGGCUCAAAUGAGUCGAUGCCGUCCAAAACGGUCCAAAAAAAGAAAAUGUUGAUAACCAUGUUACAUGAUUAUCACGCCUUCCCGUGAGGAUGGACACUGUCUUUCAGCGACCCUCACAACCCUCAUCGACACCCCCCCCCCCCCCCCUUCCCGUGAGGACGGACACUGGGGUUUCAGCGGCCCU